UACGUAGGUGGCGAGCGUUGUCCGGAUUUACUGGGCGUAAAGAGCGCGCAGGCGGUCGGAUCAGUCGAAUGUGAAAGCCCCCGGCUUAACUGGGGGAGGGUCAUUCGAUACUGUUCGACUCGAAGGCAGGAGAGGGAAGUGGAAUUCCCGGUGUAGUGGUGAAAUUCGUAGAUAUUCGCAAGAACACCAGUGGCGAAGGCAGCUCACUGGGACGGUAUUGACGCUGAGACGCGAAAGCGUGGGGAGCAAACAGG
rnacentral:rRNA from 1 species